rnacentral:lncRNA from 1 species
CUUGAGGUCUGUGUCUUAAGAAUCAGUGACUGAUAACUUUUUCUUUUCUUUUUUGUUAUCACAGGUGAACGAUACUUUACCUCGACAGGAGGGGAGACACUGUGGCAUUUACCUGCCAUUAAAUCCAUGUGCAGUAUAAACUCCAGGAUCAGGUCUCACCGCCAGUUUGGUGACCUCUGCCAGAGAACCACCGCCGCCUCUUGCUGCCCCAGCUGGAUGCUGGGGAACUACAUUGCCAUUCUGAACAACAGGUCGUCCUGUCAGAGCAUCAUCGAGCAAGAUAUGUCUCACACCCUGAAGCUGCUCCGCACCUGUGCCAAGCACUACCAGAAUGGCACCCUAGGGCCAGACUGCUGGGAUGCCGCUGCCCACAGGAAGGACCAGCUCAAGUGCACCAGUGUGCCACGCAAGUGCACCAAGUACAACACCGUGUACCAGAUCCACCACUACCUGUGGACAAGGACUUCAUGGCCCUGAAGGUGGCUGACCACCCCACCUCGGUGCUCAGGUACAGCAUGUUCUUCUCGCCCACAGAGAAGGGGAAGAGCAUGAUGAACGUUUACCUGGACAACUUCGAAAACUGGAACUCCUCAGACAGCGUGACGAUGGUCACUAGGAUCGAGUUCGGCAUCAAACACAGCUUGUUUCAG